GCGCGAUCGCGGAUAUACGGCUGCUACACGUGUAACAGAAUGCCUCGGAAGUCUCGCAUACUCUUCAUACUCGUUACAAAAUUUAUCCUUCAUUUUGCCGAAGGCGUAGCUUUCUCCGACUAAUCUACCGGUGCAGGCGGAAUCCGUUGGAAAUUAACACGAACGUUGAUGUGACGUGACGUGAUAUGAGGUGACACGAUAAGAUAAAAAAAAGGAAAAUGGAAAAAUAUGAGAUACGAGAGAGGAGGAACUACCAUCACCAUGUGAUAUAAAUUACAUAUGGAUUACAUAUGUCCGACAGUCCAUUCGACGCCACACUCGACCCAAUGUCAUCGAUGAUUAUGCGCGAGCAUCCUCUGGAACAUCAUCUCCAACGACUCCAACAUCGCCGACGUCGACGUCGACGUUCGAUUUGAACAGCAUCGCGCGAUCGAAACUAGAUGACACAAGACGAGAAACUCGAUUAAUCGCGAGAUCGUGGAGUAAACAUAGUUGCUGAUUGCGAACGCGAUCCACCUGACGACUCAUCAGCUUCAAAGCGGUUGAUAUACGAUUCGUCUGUACUAACGAUACAUGUAUUAAUAUCGUCAUAUAUGCUACUAAUUAUAAACGUUUCGAAGUAUCUAGUG
rnacentral:lncRNA from 1 species